UACAGAGGUCCCGAGCGUUGUUCGGAUUUAUUGGGCGUAAAGGGUGCGUAGGCGGCGGAGUAAGUUGGGUGUGAAAUCCCGGGGCUCAACCUCGGAAUUGCAUUCAAUACUGCUUCGCUCGAGUACUGGAGAGGAGGCUGGAAUUUACGGUGUAGCAGUGAAAUGCGCAGAUAUCGGGAAGAACACCCGUGGCUAAGGCGGCUCUCUAGUACGGUACUGACGCUGAGACGCGAAAGCGUGGGGAGCGAACAGG
rnacentral:rRNA from 1 species